GGUUCGAUUCUGUCAGAUUGAACGCUGGCGGGAUGCUUUACACAUGCAAGUCGAACGGCAGCACGGACUUCGGUCUGGUGGCGAGUGGCGAACGGGUGAGUAAUGUAUCGGAACGUGCCUAAUGUGAGGGGAUAACUACGUUUGCGAAAGCGUAGCUUCAUGCGCCCUUCGGGGGAAAGCGGGGGACCUUCGGGUCGCACUAUUAGAGCGGCCGAUAUCAGUUAGCUAGUUAGUUGGUGGGGUAACGGCUCACCAAGGCGACGAUCGUAGCUGGUUUGAGAGGACGACCAGCCACUGGGACUGGGAACUGGCCCAGACUCCACAGGAGGCAGCAGUGGGAAUUUUGGACGAUGGGGGAAACCUGAUCCAGCCAUCCCCGCGUGUGCGAUGAAGGCCUUCAGGUUGUAAAGCACUUUUGGCAGGAAAGAAACGGCUGCGGGAUAGCACCCGUGCAACUGACAGUACCUGCAGAAUAAGCACCGGCCCCAACUACGUGCCAGCAGCCGCGGUAAUACGUAGGGUGCAAGCGUUAAUCGGAAUUACUGGGCGUAAAGCGUGCGCAGGCGGUUCGGAAAAGAAAGAUGUGAAAUCCACGACCGCUUUGGAACUGCAUUUUUAACUACCGAGCUAGAGUGUGUCAGAGGGAGGUGGAAUUCCAUUAAUAACAGUGAAAUGCGUAGAUAUGCGGAGGGCGCGAUGGCGACCUCCUGGGACACUUUCCUGACGCUCAUGCACGAAAGCGUGGGAGCAAGCAGGAUUAGAUACCCUGGUGAUCCCGCCCUAAACGAUGUCAACUAGCUGUUGGGGCCUUCGGGCCUUGGUAGCGCAGCUAACGCGUGAAGUUGACCGCCUGGGAGUACGGUCAUAGUUAAAACUCAAAGGAAUUGACGGGGACCCGCACAAGCGGUGGAUGAUGGAUUAAUUCGAUGCAACGCGAAAAACCUUUUCCCUUGACAUGUGGAAUCCCGAAGAGAUUUGGGAGUGCUCGCAAGAGAACCGGAACACAGGUGCUGCAUAGCUGUCGUCAGCUCGUGUCGUGAGAUGUUGGGUUAAGUCCCGCAACGAGCGCAACCCUUGUCAUUGGUUGCUACGAAGGGCACUCUAAUGAGACUGCCGGUGACAAACCGGAGGAAGGUGGGGAUGACGUCAAGUCCUCAUGGCCCUUAUGGGUAGGGCUUCACACGUCAUACAAUGGUCGGGACAGAGGGUCGCCAACCCGCGAGGGAAGACCAAUCCCAGAAACCCGAUCGUAGUCCGGAUCGCAGUCACCCGCAACUCGACGCUGCGUGAAGUCGGAAUCGCUAGUAAUCGCGGAUCAGCAUGUCGCGGUGAAUACGUUCCCGGGUCUUGUACACACCGCCCGUCACACCAUGGGAGUGGGUUUUACCAAGUAGUUAGCCUAACCGUAAGGAGGGCGAUUACCACGGUAGGAUUCAUGACUGGGGUGAAGUCAUGUCAUUAG
rnacentral:rRNA from 1 species